UUACAGGAAAAAAUUAUGAACCAUAAGGACUCUCCUCAUCAAUCUUAAGGAAAUAGAAUGUUAUUUUUCUUUUACAAUUUGACAUUAAUUUAAUUUUAUCUCUCCUCAGUAAGUGGCGUUUGACCUCAUUAAAUAUAUUUUAUCUCUUUUAAGUAUGGUUUAAUAGCAACAAAAACAAUCAACAAUGUUGCCUCAAAGUAUGUAGAUCUACUUUCCGGAGUACAUAAAAGCCUUCACAUUAGAACGUGACUUAGAAUUUAAGAUAAAUAUUUUCACUGAGCUAUAAUUAUAAAAGACAGGCGUUCGAUCGUCAGUGGCGGCUGGAAGCUCAUCCAUCUUGUCUAAGAAGAAAGCCGGCUUGUGCGCAAUGCUGACCACAUUGCCAUACUCGUUAUAUAUACAGAUACACAGAGAGAGAGGGGGAGCUAGACAUCGGCUAAUUUGCCAAUCCGCAAAUUACUUUACGAUAAGAAGAUAAGUAAAUAAGAAAAGUUAAAAGCUACUGUCUUACUACCAGGAGAAGGCGACUGAAUCCAUAAUAGAGGUUACAUGAAAAUUUAAACCAAAAAAGGAUCGAGGAAGUGAUAACUGGCGGGAGAAAAACUUGUCGUCAAUGACAAUUCUGUCGCAAUCAAUGUAAUUCUGCUCAUUCCCAAGCGGUAGUAAACUGCUACUAAGUCAAUCGUUUUCUUACAACGGGUGGAAAAUUAUGUGUUAAAACAACGUAUAAUAAAUUGUUGUUGAAAAUGUU